ACCUUGCCAAUUUUGUUGGCCCA
rnacentral:siRNA from 1 species